rnacentral:rRNA from 1 species
UACGAAGGGGGCUAGCGUUGUUCGGAAUUACUGGGCGUAAAGCGCACGUAGGCGGAUCGAUCAGUCAGGGGUGAAAUCCCAGGGCUCAACCCUGGAACUGCCUUUGAUACUGUCGAUCUGGAGUAUGGAAGAGGUGAGUGGAAUUCCGAGUGUAGAGGUGAAAUUCGUAGAUAUUCGGAGGAACACCAGUGGCGAAGGCGGCUCACUGGUCCAUUACUGACGCUGAGGUGCGAAAGCGUGGGGAGCAAACAGGAU